rnacentral:rRNA from 1 species
AGGACGAACGCUGGCGGCGUGCUUAACACAUGCAAGUCGAACGGUGAUCCUCGGGGCUUGCUUCGGGGUGAUCAGUGGCGAACGGGUUAGUAACACGUGAGUAACCUGCCCCAGACUCUGGGAUAACUUCGGGAAACCGUAGCUAAUACCGGAUAUGACACGGAGACGCAUGUCUAUCGUGUGGAAAGUUCUUCGGUCUGGGAUGGACUCGCGGCCUAUCAGCUUGUUGGUGAGGUAAUGGCUCACCAAGGCGACGACGGGUA